AGAGUUUGAUCCUGGCUCAGGAUGAACGCUGGCGGCGUGCCUAAUACAUGCAAGUCGAACGAGGUACUUGAGUAGCAAUACGAGAGUAUCCUAGUGGCGAACGGGUGAGUAACGCGUUGGUGACCUACCCCAAAGUGUGGGAUAACAGUCCGAAAGGACUGCUAAUACCGCAUGUGGUUAUCGGAUUUAGAAACUGAUAACUAAAGGAGCAAUUCGCUUUGGGAGGGACCUGCGUCCCAUCAGCUAGUUGGUGAGGUAAUGGCUCACCAAGGCUACGACGGGUAGGGGACCUGAGAGGGUGACCCCCCACAAUGGAACUGAAACACGGUCCAUACACCUACGGGUGGCAGCAGUAGGGAAUAUUGCACAAUGGGCGAAAGCCUGAUGCAGCAACGCCGCGUGUGCGAUGAAGGCCUUCGGGUCGUAAAGCACUUUUCUGAGGGAUGAGCAAGGACAGUACCUCAGGAAUAAGUCUCGGCUAACUACGUGCCAGCAGCCGCGGUAAAACGUAGGAGGCAAGCGUUAUCCGGAUUCACUGGGCGUAAAGCGCGUGCAGGCGGUUCGGUAAGUUGGGCGUGAAAUCUCCUGGCUUAACUGGGAGAGGUCGUUCAAUACUACCGGACUUGAGAGUGAUAGAGGAAGAUGGAAUUCCCGGUGUAGUGGUGAAAUGCGUAGAUAUCGGGAGGAACACCAGUGGCGAAAGCGAUCUUCUGGAUCAUUUCUGACGCUCAGACGCGAAAGCUAGGGUAGUAAACGGGAUUAGAGACCCCGGUAAUCCUAGCCGUAAACGAUGUAAACUUGGCGUCGGUGGCUUUAACUCCAUCGGUGCCGCAGCUAACGCGAUAAGUUUACCGCCUGGGGACUACGAUCGCAAGAUUAAAACUCAAAGGAAUUGACGG
rnacentral:rRNA from 1 species